rnacentral:rRNA from 1 species
CUGGUACAAUUGGUUUCUCCCUUCUGACGAAGCAUGAUGUCAUUAAUUUGGUGUCGUGGGGAAUCAGGACUGUUACUUUGAAAAAAUUAGAGUGUUUAAAGCAAGCAUUAGCUUGAAUACAUUAGCAUGGAAUAAUGAAAUAGGACGUUUGAUCCUAUUUCGUUGGUUUCUAGGAUCGACGUAAUGAUUAAUAGGGAUAGUUGGGGGCAUUAGUAUUCAAUUGUCAGAGGUGAAAUUCUUGGAUUUAUUGAAGACUAACUACUGCGAAAGCAUUUGCCAAGGAUGUUUUCAUUAAUCAAGAACGAAAGUUAGGGGAUCGAAGACGAUCAGAUACCGUCGUAGUCUUAACCAUAAACUAUGCCGACUAGGGAUCGGAUGAUGUUAAUUUUUUAAUGACUCAUUCGGCGCCUUACG